UGUUGGUCCUAGCCAUUGUCGUUGUGAUUUUGGUUUUGAAGACUCAUGUCACGAGGGGGCUUGUACAUAUGGCGGCUCUAGCAGAAUCCAUGGCUACGGUUUCGUCGGCUACUGUGGCAGAGUUAUUGGCAAUUCGAGAGGGUCUUCGUUUUGCAAUUAAUUGUGAUUUAUCUGAUGUGGCUGUGGAGUCUAAAUGGAGAAUAUGGUGUUGGCAUGAUUCGUGAUAGGGUUCGGACUGUCGGAGUACCAUCUUAUUAUUAGUAACAUUCACAUGCUUGCUGAUUUAUUUAGUUUUAUUUCUUUUGUUCACAUUCGUAGGACUUGUAAUGAUGUUGCUCAUUCUUUAGCUAGAUUUGAUAUUAGACAUGACUCUUGAAUAGGUUUGGCUUGAGAAUGAAAGCCCCUUUAUACCUUCUUUUAGCUGAUAUGUCUAUUCGGUAAUGAGCUAUAAUGCUUGCCGUUGGUAUAUACCUUUCUUUUUCUUUUCUUUUUUUUCCUUCUAAGGUUUUUCCUAAUGGGUUUUUACUUGGAAGGUUUUUUAUCCAUGGUUCAGGUUUCUGUUUAAUCUUUUUUGAAUGAAAGUGAUUAUUUUU
rnacentral:lncRNA from 1 species